AAGCCAUGCGAGUCGAGAGGGUUCGGCCCUCGGCGUACUGCUCAGUAACACGUGGACAACCUGCCCUAAGGUGAGGGAUAACCCCGGGAAACUGGGGAUAAUACCUCAUAAUCUACAGAUGCUGGAAUGCUCUGUAGGUGAAAGGUCAGCCGCCUUAGGAUGGGUCUGCGGCCGAUUAGGUAGUUGUUGGGGUAACGGCCCAACAAGCCUGUAAUCGGUACGGGUUGUGGGAGCAAGAGCCCGGAGAUGGAUUCUGAGACAAGAAUCCAGGCCCUACGGGGCGCAGCAGGAGCGGAAACUUUACAAUGCAGGUAACUGUGAUAAGGGAACCCCGAGUGCCCGUAUGGACGGGCUGUUCAGGUGCGUAAAGAACACCUGGAGAAAGGGCCGGGCAAGACCGGUGCCAGCCGCCGCGGUAAUACCGGCGGCUCGAGUGGUGGCCACUAUUACUGGGCUUAAAGCGUCCGUAGCUGGGUAGUUAAGUCUCUUGGGAAAUCCAGCAGCUCAACUGUUGGGCUUUCAGGAGAUACUGUUCGGCUCGAGGCCGGGAGAGGUGAGAGGUACUUCAGGGGUAGGGGUGAAAUCUUGUAACCCUUGAAGGACCACCAGUGGCGAAGGCGCCUCACCAGAACGGACCUGACGGCAAGGGACGAAAGCUAGGGGCACGAACCGGAUUAGAUACCCGGGUAGUCCUAGCCGUAAACGAUACUCGCUAGGUGUCGGCCACGGUGCGACCGUUGUCGGUGCCGUAGGGAAGCCGUGAAGCGAGCCGCCUGGGAAGUACGGUCGCAAGGCUGAAACUUAAAGGAAUUGGCGGGGGAGCACCACAACGGGU
rnacentral:rRNA from 1 species